rnacentral:misc_RNA from 1 species
AAGUCGUAACAAGGUUUCCGUAGGUGAACCUGCGGAAGGAUCAUUAUUGAUUCUCUUGGAGAAGCGCUUUGCAAAAAGCGCUUUUCUUUUCUGUGAACUGGAGUGUUCAGCGUUCCCUUUGGGGAGCGCUGGCACUUGCUCUUCUUUUCUUGUCUUUUUAUAUUAUGAUUUUCUCUUCUUCUUUUGAGGAAAAGAAAAGAAAUAAUCCAAGACAACUUUCAGCAAUGGAUCUCUUGGCUCUU